GCUGACAUGCUGAUCCUCAUCUGUCUUUCUCCUGCAUCUGCCAAUUGAUUCUGCACUUGAGAGGGGAAUGAGUAUAUUUAUUUACUGGGUUUCCCUCAAAUGCCAACAGAUAAGUUGAUUCCACAACAAUCAACUGGCAUUUGGGCUGCACAGCAUCGUUGGGACAUUAUAGUUAGUUUCAGCCUCUAUUAAAACAUCAAUUGUUUGGGGGAAGAAGGUCCAGUUCCUGGGCUGUAAGACUGGAGGUCAGGUCCAUGGACAGGGUGAGGUCAUCAGGAUGACGUCACAAAGGCAUUGGAACUCCUGUUUCCUCUCAUGUGACCUCUUGUCACACUUCCGCAAACAAUACCUGCCCUACAGGUAUGCUGGGGAAUAAACAUGCCUGGGACACCAGCGAGCAUCCUAGGAAUGUGGGCCCCUGCCCUGGUCUCUAAAGGAAGGGGCAAAAGCUGAGAACCACACUUAAAAGCGAACUGUUUCAGUGGUUGUGCGCCACCCGUGGCAGUCUGCACGGCGUCAUCAGACCCUUGUGGCCUUGCCAGUUGCCCCAUCCCUGACACUCACUGUGGCAGCAGCUGAGAUGGCUCCCAGCGCUUCCUGCCCCUGAUGUUCACACCCUGGGUGACACCCUCCCCUCGAGUGUGGGCUGCACCCGGUGACUCGCUUCUAAUGAAUGGAACAGGGCCAAAGCGAUGGGAUGUCACUUCUGAUAUUAGUGUAUAAAAGACUGAGAUUUCUC